AUACGGGGGGUGCAAGCGUUAUUCGGAUUUAUUGGGCGUAAAGGGCGCGUAGGCGGCUUGGAAAGUCAGAUGUGAAAGCCCGGGGCUCAACCCCGGAAGUGCAUUUGAAACUAUCAGGCUUGAGUAUGGGAGAGGGAGGUGGAAUUCCUGGUGUAGAGGUGAAAUUCGUAGAUAUCAGGAGGAACACCGGUGGCGAAGGCGACUUCCUGGACCAAUACUGACGCUGAGGCGCGAAGGCGUGGGGAGCAAACAGGAUUAGAAACCCCAGUAGUCC
rnacentral:rRNA from 1 species